rnacentral:rRNA from 1 species
AGGUUGUUGUCCCCCCACGUCAAAUAUCCAAGCUCGACCUCAAAUCAGACAAGAGUACCCGCUGAACUUAAGCAUAUCAAUAAGCGGAGGAAAAGAAACCAACAGGGAUUGCCUCAGUAACGGCGAGUGAAGCGGCAAGAGCUCAAAUUUGAAAUCUGGUAGUUUUACUGCCCGAGUUGUAAUUUGAAGAGCUCAACCUUGGUAACCAGCGCUGUCUAUGUUUCUUGGAACAGGACGUCACAGAGGGUGAGAAUCCCGUUUGGUGGUGCUGUUGUUGCCUUGUAGGUUGUGUUCGACGAGUCGAGUUGUUUGGGAAUGCAGCUCUAAGUGGGUGGUAAAUUCCAUCUAAAGCUAAAUAUUGGCGAGAGACCGAUAGCGAACAAGUACAGUGAUGGAAAGAUGAAAAGAACUUUGAAAAGAGAGUGAAAAAGUACGUGAAAUUGUUGAAAGGGAAGGGCAUUAGAUUAGACUUGGCGCUUCAGGCACAUCCUCCUCUUGUAGGGGGUGCACUCCUGUUGUGCUGGGCCAGCAUCGAUUUGUGCGGUGGGAUAAAACUGCUGGGACGUAGCUGCAUUUUUGCAGUGUUAUAACCAGUGGCAAUACCACCAGCGUAGAUCGAGGACUGCGUCUUUUUAGACUAGGAUGCUGGCGUAAUGAUCUAAUGCCGCCCGUCUUGA